AGAACCAGGAAAUUCUUCCGGCCUGGGAAAGUCGUGGCUCCUCCCAAUUCUACUCUUGGAGCUCCAGCUGCAACUGCAGGGGAAAGCACAAACGCAGUCCCCCACUGCUACAAAUUCUGCAGUCGAGUUUCCCACGUUUGGGGAAAUCGCAGGGAUCAGCACAUCCGGAGUGCAAUGGAUGAGCCGUGCACUGCAGAACCACCUUUGUGAUCACGGUAUCUCCCCUGACAGGCUUUGAGGGCCUCACCUUGGAAGACAACAGGUGGUGGAACUGAGGGGUGAGAUAGAACUGGAUGCCCUUCCAGGCCCCUGGGAGGGUGACUCCACGGACCAGCAGCAUGAGCAGGAUGAGGUAGGGGAACGUGGCCGUGAAAUACACCACCUGAGAGACAGUAAGGGGGUUGACCUUCUCUCUC